rnacentral:tRNA from 1 species
UGCCGGGAUAGCUCAGUUGGUAGAGCAGAGGACUGAAAAAUCCUCGUGUCAACCAGUUCAAAU